rnacentral:rRNA from 1 species
ACUCCUACGGGAGGCAGCAGUAGGGAAUCUUCCACAAUGGGCGCAAGCCUGAUGGAGCAACACCGCGUGAGUGAAGAAGGGUUUCGGCUCGUAAAGCUCUGUUGUUAAAGAAGAACACGUAUGAGAGUAACUGUUCAUACGUUGACGGUAUUUAACCAGAAAGUCACGGCUAACUACGUGCCAGCAGCCGCGGUAAUACGUAGGUGGCAAGCGUUAUCCGGAUUUAUUGGGCGUAAAGAGAGUGCAGGCGGUUUUCUAAGUCUGAUGUGAAAGCCUUCGGCUUAACCGGAGAAGUACAUCGGAAACUGGAUAACUUGAGUGCAGAAGAGGGUAGUGGAACUCCAUGUGUAGCGGUGGAAUGCGUAGAUAUAUGGAAGAACACCAGUGGCGAAGGCGGCUACCUGGUCUGCAACUGACGCUGAGACUCGAAAGCAUGGGUAGCGAACAGGAUUAGAUACCCUGGUAGGAAA